UACAGAGGUCCCAAGCGUUGUUCGGAUUCACUGGGCGUAAAGCGUGUGCAGGCGGUUUUGUAAGCCAGAUGUGAAAUCCCCGGGCUUAACCUGGGAAUGGCAUUUGGGACUGCAAGGCUGGAGUGUGGCAGAGGAGACUGGAAUUCCUGGUGUAGCAGUGAAAUGCGUAGAUAUCAGGAGGAAUACCGAUGGCGAAGGCAGGUCUCUGGGCUGACACUGACGCUCAUGCACGAAAGCGUGGGGAGCAAACAGG
rnacentral:rRNA from 1 species